rfam:Myxococcus stipitatus DSM 14675, complete genome.
GCACGCAGAGCCAACUGGAGAAGGCAACGGUCUCACAUACCGUCAUCGCCGGGUUCGAUUCCCGGGGCGUGCA